rnacentral:rRNA from 1 species
AUUGAACGCUAGCGGCAUGCUUAACACAUGCAAGUCGAGCGGCAGCGCGGGGCAACCUGGCGGCGAGCGGCGGACGGGUGAGUAAUACGUAGGAAUCUGCCUUGUAGUGGGGGACAACCCGGGGAAACUCGGGCUAAUACCGCAUAAUCUCUAAGGAGGAAAGUAAGGGACCUUCGGGCCUUACGCUAUAAGAUGAGCCUGCGUCGGAUUAGCUAGUUGGUGGGGUAAAGGCCUACCAAGGCGACGAUCCGUAGCUGGUCUGAGAGGACGAUCAGCCACACUGGGACUGAGACACGGCCCAGACUCCUACGGGAGGCAGCAGUGGGGAAUAUUGGACAAUGGGGGCAACCCUGAUCCAGCAAUGCCGCGUGUGUGAAGAAGGCCUUCGGGUUGUAAAGCACUUUCAGUGGGGAAGAACCAAUUCAAGGGUAAUAUCCUUGAGUCUUGACAUUACCUACAGAAGAAGCACCGGCAAACUCUGUGCCAGCAGCCGCCGUAAGAC